CAUGCAGAGGAAUUCCAAAUAAAUUUUAUAGAGACUCCACCCUACGGACAGCGGGGAGCAUAAUUUCCUGCUUCUUAAAAAUUACACUGCAUGAAGUUACUUUCUUCCAAAGAGUAGAAUACAGGAGUAACUUUACAGUUAAGAAGGCUAACAACCUGUAUUUCAACUGGGUGACCAAGGCCAACAUCAACAAUCAGAAAUCAAGUUGGUAGUAUGAUUGUAUUUCAUACAAUCUGAUGAAGAUGGCGCUUUAACUCUGGGAUUUUCCUCCUGAAAACCCAUAACCCCAAUCUAGUUAUAAAAAAAAUUUUUAGUAGAACGACAUCCUGCAAUACACAUGACCAGUACUCUUUAUAAUUGUAAAGGAAGUUCAUUAAAAACAAGAAAACAGGAAUAUCUGAGAAACUCUCAGUCAAUAAGAGCCCAAGGAGGCACGAUAAAUAAAUGUAGUAUGGAAUCCUGGAUGGAACGAGGGAACAGAAAAAGAACAUUAAAACUAAAAAUCAGAGUCAGUUGUAGAUUUUAGUUAAUGACGUAUCAAUAUUGGUUUAUGAUUAUAACAUAUGUACCAUACUAAUCAUAUUCAUGUAAGAUGUUGAUCAUUGGAAAACAGUAUGUGGCUGGGGGUAGUUAAUGUGGGAGCUCUUUACUAUCCACUCAAUUUUUCUGUGUUACAAACUCAUUAUAAAAAUAGUCUAUUAAUAAAAAUGAAAGGUAAAUAUCUCAAGGCAAAUGAUCACAGGUUGGAAGAAUAGUUUGCUGUAGAAUUCUGUGGAAUACUGAGGGCUCUUGGGCUCAAAGAACUAUAAUUUGGCAUUGUCAGAGAAUGAGGGUUUCCUGAUAGUUGCAUAAUUAUUGUAAUGUAUCACCUAUACAUGAAUUAUUCAUUUUUUAUCAAAGUCUCUAUAUUUAAUUAAAAAUUCAAUGAAUUUUAAAAUACCAAUGAUUAGCAUAACUGCCACCUUUAAGUAUAGUUUCUGUUACUCACAGCUGGACUCCACACAUGCAAAGUACUGGACCCUUCCUUUGAAUCCACCACUGUUACCCCUGGAAGUUGGAUGUUUCUGCUGGCAUUCUUCCCAUCAUGGACUCUGUGCAGAAGUUGCCUCCUAUGGUUUGAAUGUGUUCCCCAUAGUUCAUGUGUUGGGAACUUAAUGACUAAUGCAACAGUGGUGAGAGGUAGGUCCUCCCUUUAAGAGGUGAUGCGGUAAUGAGGGCUCUGCCCCCAUGAAUCGAUUAAUGUUGUUAUCAUGGACAUGGGUACAUUAUCUCAAGAGUGGAUUUGUUAUAAAAGUGAGAUAAGCCCUUUCUUGCUCCCUCUUGCUCUUGUGCUCUGUUGCCCUUCCACCUCUCACCAUGGAAUGAAGCAGAAAGAAGUUCCCAGCAUCAGGCUCUUGAACUUCCUAGCCUCCAGAACUGUGAGUCAAAUAAACUUCUAUUGUUCACAAACUACUAAGUUUCAGGUAUUCUGUUACAGCAACACAAAACAGACUAAGACACUGCCUAUUUGAGUCAUCACCUUCUGUAUUAAGUAUUUUCCAAUUAGUGGAACCUAGGUCAUAUAACUGUGCUCUAGCUAUAGAGGAAACUAAGACUUUUUUUCUGACUUCCACAAAAAGAAGCUGGGCCUCUAAUAAAAAAGAUGUUUUUUUAACACAAGUAGAACAUUUAAAGAUGCAGGAAGGUUAUAGACUGACUAUUAAGAUGGUUACUAAGAAGAAAACUUCCUAUUAAACAAGAGUAAUAACUACUAGGUAUCUUGAGUUUACCAUUUGAAAUACAUUUUUAUACGAAUUUUGGAAAGCCUGGAGCUGGUCAUUUAAGAUGAUGCUUUUCUAAUAUAUGCAGUGAUAGGAGGCAUAUCACCUCUGCCAAGGAGGCAGUCAUAACAUUUUGCAUUCUCUGUAAUGUGAAUUGUCAUGAGAUGAAUCAUUAUUAUGGGAUAAAUUGAUAAUCAUAUUUUUUGCAUCACCAAACUUGUUUAGCUCACUACUUGGAAGCUGUUUCACAGUACAAAAAAAUCCAUUUUCUCAACCCUAGACACCUUGCACUGCUAUAACCUAACAAUUCACUGCAGCAUAAAUCUGCCCAAGUCUAUAAUGGAAAAUAACUGGAAGAACAAGCAUCAAAGUAAGAAAAUCAAGAAUGAUAUAUUGUAUAUGACUCUAUAGAGUAUAUGAAUAAUAAGAACAAAGGUGAUUUACAUAAAAG
rnacentral:lncRNA from 10 species